rnacentral:rRNA from 1 species
GACUACCGGGGUAUCUAAGCCUGUUUGCUCCCCACGCUUUCGCGUCUCAGCGUCAGUAGUCGUCCAGAUGGCCGCCUUCGCCACCGGUGUUCCUCCGCAUAUCUACGAAUUUCACCUCUACUUGCGGAAUUCCGCCAUCCUCUCCGACACUCAAGCUCAGCAGUUUCAGACGCACUUCCUCGGUUAAGCCGAGGGCUUUCACAUCUGACUUGCCAAGCCGCCUACACGCGCUUUACGCCCAAUAAUUCCGAACAACGCUUGCACCCUCUGUAUUACCGCGGCUGCUGGCACAGAGUUAGCCGGUGCUUCUUCUCCCGGUACCGUCAGGCCCCUGGAUGUUAGCCAGAGGUUUUUCGUCCCGGUCGAAAGUGCUUUACGAUCCGAAAACCUUCAUCACACACGCGGCGUUGCUCCAUCAGGCUUUCGCCCAUUGUGGAAAAUUCCCCACUGCAGCCGCCCGUAGG